ensembl:snoRNA
AUCCUUCGGUUCAUGAGCAUGAUGAUUGGGUAUUCAUGCUGUAUGCGUAAGAUGUGCCUUCCUCAAACCUUGUUACGACAUUGGCACAUUACCCAUCUGAUC